rnacentral:sRNA from 1 species
UGUUCUUAGUGCUCACAUUGUGCAAA